CAGUGUAAUAUCCACAUACAGCCUUAACUUAAUGAUACCUUGUUAAUCAAUUACACCACACACCGAACAUAUUGGGUUAAUGACACAUCUCUUCAACUGAAAUCAUCAAUACACAGGCUUUCUGUGACCUUCAACCUGUCUUUAACUGAGAAACCUCUUGAGAAGCGAAAAUUUUUGAUUUUAACCUCGUGAUUUCAGCCUAACGGGCACAACAUUGAAAACUUAGUUACAUGUUAACGUUUUCUGUCUUUGGCGCCUUUACUAUCAGAAAAAUGAUAUUAAGAUCUGGAUUGCGAUCACUUUUAUACUCGUUGCAUGUUACAGGCUG